rnacentral:rRNA from 1 species
UACGAAGGGGGCUAGCGUUGCUCGGAAUUACUGGGCGUAAAGCGCACGUAGGCGGCUUCUCAAGUCAGGGGUGAAAGCCCGGAGCUCAACUCUGGAAUUGCCUUUGAGACUGAGUGGCUUGAGUACGAGAGAGGUGAGUGGAAUUCCCAGUGUAGAGGUGAAAUUCGUAGAUAUUGGGAAGAACACCGGUGGCGAAGGCGGCUCACUGGCUCGUAACUGACGCUCAUGCACGACAGCGUGGGGAUCAAACAGG